UGAUUUGAGAUCGAACGUUCAAAAGUUGUCCUCGCUGGGGAGAGACGUUUAUGAGCCCCAAUGAACCUUCAUCGCUGAGGGUUACCUGACGGACAACCACGAGCGUAGAUAGUUAUCACACCCGUGACGCCGCCAAACACUGGCAAGCUGAUUCAUUUGAGAGGAGCCGGCCACAAGGCCAGCAAACCCCCAAAGUCCAAGCUCAUCAUGGAAGACCAUGAGAGUUGAGGUGUUCAUGAUACUCAAACAGGCAUGCUCCGAGGAAUAACCAAGGGGCGCAAGGUGCGUUCAAAGAUUCGAUGAUUCACUGAAUUCUGCAAUUCACAUUACUUAUCGCAUUUCGCUGCGUUCUUCAUCGAUGCGAGAGCCAAGAGAUCCGUUGCUGAAAGUUGUAUUGUAUUGCGUUAAACGCGAAAAAACAUUCCAUGAGACAUCGCUACGGUGUGUGUGUAAAGACGUAGAGCUACGGAAGGAAGACAAUGUCUCCCGGUCCACAGAACUACAGAGGGUGCACAGGUGUGAGUGGAUGUGUAAACAGAGCGUGCACAUGCCCCGUUCGGGGGCCAGCAACAACCCGUGUUUGACAAUUCGGUAAUGAUCCUUCC
rnacentral:misc_RNA from 1 species